rnacentral:rRNA from 1 species
CAGUAGCCGCGGUAAUACGUAGGGUGCAAGCGUUAAUCGGAAUUACUGGGCGUAAAGCGUGCGCAGGCGGUUAUAUAAGACAGAUGUGAAAUCCCCGGGCUUAACCUGGGAACUGCAUUUGUGACUGUAUAGCUAGAGUACGGCAGAGGGGGAUGGAAUUCCGCGUGUAGCAGUGAAAUGCGUAGAUAUGCGGAGGAACACCGAUGGCGAAGGCAAUCCCCUGGGCCUGUACUGACGCUCAUGCACGAAAGCGUGGGGAGCAAACAGGAUUAGAUACCCCCGUAGUCCCUGUCUCUUAUAC